rnacentral:rRNA from 1 species
UACGUAGGGCGCAAGCGUUGUCCGGAAUUACUGGGCGUAAAGAGCUCGUAGGUGGUUUGUCGCGUUGUUCGUGAAAACCGGGGGCUUAACCCUCGGCGUGCGGGCGGAUACGGGCAGACGUGGAGUACUGCAGGGGAGACUGGGAAUCCUGGUGUAGCGGUGGAAUGCGCAGAUAUCAGGAGGAACACCGGUGGUGUAGACGGCUUCUGGACCGUAACUGACGCUGAGACACGAAAGCGUGGGUAGCAAACAGG